AGUGAACGCUGGCGGUAGGCCUAACACAUGCAAGUCGAACGGCAGCACAGUAAGAGCUUGCUCUUACGGGUGGCGAGUGGCGGACGGGUGAGGAAUACAUCGGAAUCUACUUUUUCGUGGGGGAUAACGUAGGGAAACUUACGCUAAUACCGCAUACGACCUACGGGUGAAAGCAGGGGAUCUUCGGACCUUGCGCGAGUGAAUGAGCCGAUGUCGGAUUAGCUAGUUGGCGGGGUAAAGGCACACCAAGGCGACGAUCCGUAGCUGGUCUGAGAGGAUGAUCAGCCACACUGGAACUGAGACACGGUCCAGACUCCUACGGGAGGCAGCAGUGGGGAAUAUUGGACAAUGGGCGCAAGCCUGAUCCAGCCAUACCGCGUGGGUGAAGAAGGCCUUCGGGUUGUAAAGCCCUUUUGUUGGGAAAGAAAAGCAGCAGGUUAAUACCCCGCUGUUCUGACGGUACCCAAAGAAUAAGCACCGGCUAACUUCGUG
rnacentral:rRNA from 1 species